AUUCUCUGUAAUGUUUUUUGUUUUGACAAUGAAAAGGGUAUUUAAGUCAUAAAUCCGGUAUCAUUUAAUAUUCUGUCAGCUGGCUACAUACCGUAUUUACAACAUGAACGUAGUUAACGCUCAGGUAGGAAUAAAUGUUGUCAAAAUUGUGCUUUGUGCUUUAAGUAUCGUAGUUUUAUAUUAUAGUACUAAAUCUUCAAGUGAAUCUUUAGAUCAAUACAAGAAAUUGGAUAAAUUGACACUACACGAAUUACAGCUUUUAUGUUUGAUGAAGUUACGGAAUGGUAUAGGACUCAUUUUACCAGACAUUUUACAGGACAAUUCUCGACACUAUGAGCUACUAUAUUACUCAUCUUGUUGUCAUAUACAGUUUUGUAUUGGUGAUUCAUCUUAUGAAUUAAAAGAUUAUGAUAUCUUUAUCGUUUAUAAAAAGCAUGAUAACAAAAGCAUACUGGAUCAUACCCCAAUGUUGUCUCCGGGAUAUAUUAUAUUCAGC
rnacentral:lncRNA from 1 species